rnacentral:rRNA from 1 species
UACGGAGGGUGCGAGCGUUAAUCGGAAUUACUGGGCGUAAAGGGUGCGUAGGUGGUCUGAUAAGUUAUCUGUGAAAGCCCUGGGCUCAACCUGGGAAGGCCAGAUAAGACUGUUGGACUGGAGUAUGGGAGAGGGCAGUGGAAUUUCCGGUGUAGCGGUGAAAUGCGUAGAGAUCGGAAGGAACACCAGUGGCGAAGGCGGCUGCCUGGCCUGAUACUGACACUGAGGCACGAAAGCGUGGGGAGCAAACAGG